GAGUUUGAUCGUGGCUCAGGACGAACGCUGGCGGCGUGCCUAACACAUGCAAGUCGAACGGAGAAUUUUAUUUCGGUAGAAUUCUUAGCGGCGGACGGGUGAGUAACGCGUGGGUAACCUGCCUCAUACAGGGGGAUAACAGUUAGAAAUGACUGCUAAUACCGCAUAAGCGCACAGCUUCGCAUGAAGCGGUGUGAAAAACUCCGGUGGUAUGAGAUGGACCCGCGUCUGAUUAGUUAGUUGGCGGGUAACGCCCACCAAGACGACGAUCAGUAGCCGACCUGAGAGGUGACCGGCCACAUUGGGACUGAGACACGGCCAAACUCCUACGGGAGGCAGCAGUGGGGAAUAUUGCACAAGUGGGGGAAACCCUGAUGCAGCGACGCCGC
rnacentral:rRNA from 1 species